GAUGAACGCUGGCGGCGUGCCUAAUACAUGCAAGUCGAGCGAACAGAUGAGGAGCUUGCUCCUCUGACGUUAGCGGCGGACGGGUGAGUAACACGUGGAUAACCUACCUAUAAGACUGGGAUAACUUCGGGAAACCGGAGCUAAUACCGGAUAAUAUAUUGAACCGCAUGGUUCAAUAGUGAAAGACGGUUUUGCUGUCACUUAUAGAUGGAUCCGCGCCGCAUUAGCUAGUUGGUAAGGUAACGGCUUACCAAGGCAACGAUGCGUAGCCGACCUGAGAGGGUGGUCGGCCACACGGGAACUGAGACACGGUCCAGACUCCUACGGGAGGCAGCAGUAGGGAAUCUUCCGCAAUGGGCGAAAGCCUGACGGAGCAACGCCGCGUGAGUGAUGAAGGUCUUCGGAUCGUAAAACUCUGUUAUUAGGGAAGAACAAAUGUGUAAGUAACUGUGCACGUCUUGACGGUACCUAAUCAGAAAGCCACGGCUAACUACGUG
rnacentral:rRNA from 1 species